CUGGCGGCAGGCCUAACACAUGCAAGUCGAGCGGUAGGAGAGAAGCUUGCUUCUCUUGAGAGCGGCGGACGGGUGAGUAAUGCCUAGGAAUCUGCCUGGUAGUGGGGGAUAACGUUCGGAAACGGACGCUAAUACCGCAUACGUCCUACGGGAGAAAGCAGGGGACCUUCGGGCCUUGCGCUAUCAGAUGAGCCUAGGUCGGAUUAGCUAGUUGGUGGGGUAAUGGCUCACCAAGGCGACGAUCCGUAACUGGUCUGAGAGGAUGAUCAGUCACACUGGAACUGAGACACGGUCCAGACUCCUACGGGAGGCAGCAGUGGGGAAUAUUGGACAAUGGGCGAAAGCCUGAUCCAGCCAUGCCGCGUGUGUGAAGAAGGUCUUCGGAUUGUAAAGCACUUUAAGUUGGGAGGAAGGGCAGUAAAUUAAUACUUUGCUGUUUUGACGUUACCGACAGAAUAAGCACCGGCUAACUCUGUGCCAGCAGCCGCGGUAAUACAGAGGGUGCAAGCGUUAAUCGGAAUUACUGGGCGUAAAGCGCGCGUAGGUGGUUAGUUAAGUUGGAUGUGAAAUCCCCGGGCUCAACCUGGGAACUGCAUUCAAAACUGACUGACUAGAGUAUGGUAGAGGGUGGUGGGAAUUUCCUGUGUAGCGGUGAAAUGCGUAGAUAUAGGAAGGAACACCAGUGGCGAAGGCGACCACCUGGACUGAUACUGACACUGAGGUGCGAAAGCGUGGGGAGCAAACAGGAUUAGAUACCCUGGUAGUCCACGCCGUAAACGAUGUCAACUAGCCGUUGGGAGCCUUGAGCUCUUAGUGGCGCAGCUAACGCAUUAAGUUGACCGCCUGGGGAGUACGGCCGCAAGGUUAAAACUCAAAUGAAUUGACGG
rnacentral:rRNA from 1 species